AUUGAACGCUGGCGGCAGGCCUAACACAUGCAAGUCGAGCGAGCGGCGGACGGGUGAGUAAUGUAUGGGGACUGCCCGUUAGAGGGGGAUAACUACUGGAAACGGAAGCUAAUACCGCAUACUAUCGGAUAACCCAUAUGGGAUGAGCUAGUAGGUGAGGUAAUGGCUCACCUAGGCGACGAUCCCUAGCGGGUCUGAGAGGAUGAUCAGCCACACUGGGACUGAGACACGGCCCAGACUCCUACGGAGGCAGCAGUGGGGAAUAUUGCACAAUGGGCGCAAGCCUGAUGCAGCAAUGCCGCGUGUAUGAAGAAGGCUCUAGGGUUGUAAAGUACUGUCCGUCGGGAGGCGUUACCGACAGAAGAAGCACCGGCUAACUCCGUGCCAGCAGCCGCGGUAAUUC
rnacentral:rRNA from 1 species